rnacentral:rRNA from 1 species
CAGUCGCCACGGUAAUACAGAGGGUGCGAGCGUUAAUCGGAUUUACUGGGCGUAAAGCGUGCGUAGGCGGCUUUUUAAGUCGGAUGUGAAAUCCCUGAGCUUAACUUAGGAAUUGCAUUCGAUACUGGGAAGCUAGAGUAUGGGAGAGGAUGGUAGAAUUCCAGGUGUAGCGGUGAAAUGCGUAGAGAUCUGGAGGAAUACCGAUGGCGAAGGCAGCCAUCUGGCCUAAUACUGACGCUGAGGUACGAAAGCAUGAGGAGCAAACAGGAUUAGAUACCCGUGUAGUCCCUGUCUCUUAUAC